GGUCAUCUUGGGAUCUAUCUCAGUUGAUCCUCUUUUCUCUUAAUAAUGUGUCCCAUUUACUUGAUUUUUGGAUGUUGGGUGAUUUUGCACUGUGUCCUGGACAUUAUGAAUGUGGUGUGGUGGAAAUUCUGGAUUCUGUUAUUUUCCACCAAUGACUGUGUCUCUUGGUUCAGCAGGUAGUGAUCUCAGCUGGUCUUGAACCGCAAACUGGCUCCUGGCUGCAGCGCCAGCCUCAGUUCAGAUCUUCUGUUGUUAGCGAGUGGCUUGCGCAUGCGUGGUUCAGUCCGUCAGAAAGGUUAAGGAGAUGUAACCACCAGCCAUCCUGAAACUGACCAAAUGAGGCACUCAAGGGAGAUGUAACCACCAGCCAUCCUGAAACUGACCAAAUGAGGCACUCAAGGGAGAUGUAACCACCAGCCAUCCUGAAACUGACCAAGCCUCACCACAAGAGCUAUGCCCAUGACCUUUGCUUUAUUUUUAAUGCAAAGAUCUCUCCAGGAGGAGCUUAGGCCUCAUUAUGUGGAAGCAUGUUCUCCAACUGAGCCUGUGCUAGUGAAUACCCCCACCUCUCCCUUUUGAAUAUUAUUCCCCAACUGAAAUAAAAGUUCCUGCUUCCCUUAGUUCUGGGACGCCAUGACUUUGGAAAUGAUUCCUCACGGCCUCCUAUUUGCUGCAAAUACAGUUUACUUUGUGAGACAAC